UUUGCACAGAAGUCACCCCUGUGUUGGCUCCGUCCGGCAGGUCCGGUCUCCUUGGUUACGGAGUCUCCGUGGUUACUAGGCAACGAUGCAAGGGGCUCGAGCUCACGUCACAGCUGUGGCCCACGUGACCGGAACUCAGAGCAGCCGCGGCUUCCGGCCUCGGGACGCCGGCUGGCGGGAGCGCACGGGGAGGACCUCACAAGUAUUCAGGGGACAACUGUGCCAAGAUCGCCUCAUGUGUAGCCACAAAAACACCAUCUGAAGUGGAAAAGAUCAUUACCCGGCAUGUGGGUGGAUGCAGCCAGGUGAUAACUGGUAGUGAUGUAAAACAGAGAAGUUAGCAGAUAAUCUGUGUGUUCUGUCAGCACUGGGAUGUGAAAAACAGCAUGCUGUGCGCUAAAUAAUCAACAUUUCAGGAGGUACAAGAAGAGAUUCACAGGCAUUACAGCCAAACCCAGGAAUCAAGGGAAUGACAGGUUUACAAGACAAAGUACUAUAGCACUGGCAGUAAAACCCAUCACAGUCUGCAGUACGUGGUCCCCGAGCACAAGUGUAUCAGUGACUUGUAAGUUUGAAAGGAAUAUCAUUGACUCAGCUACUUUAGAGACCUUCUCCCCUCUGCAGCCAGGAACUACUAGCCAGGGAGGCUAAUUGGAGAGUAGCUGGCAGCCUCAUAGGUAAUGCAAGCUCUGUGCACCAAGAUGACACACCAUUAAAAGCAGAUGGAGCAAUCUUCCAGGAUAUCUCUAGCACCCCACUAGGAAUAGUGACAGUCACAUGCGUAAUUAAGCCGUAGAUUUAAACUAGGUUCAGUGACUAUGUAUGCUUUAUGUACUGCCUAAUUUAACAUUGUGAACAAUUAGUAAUGAAAGACGAGAACUACUGCUAGAAAAACGCUAAAUGUGUUAGCUAUGAGUGAU